GCGGGUGUAGUUCAAUGGUAGAAAGGCAGCUUCCCAAGCUGCAAACGAGGGUCCGAUGCCCUUGACCGGCU
rnacentral:tRNA from 1 species